GGGAGCAUAGCUCAGUGGUAGAGCAUUUGACUGCAGAUCAAAAGGUCCCCAAUUCAAAUCUGAUUCCCUCCA
rnacentral:tRNA from 1 species